AGAAUCAACGCUGGCGGCGUGCCUAACACAUGCAAGUCGAACGAGAAAGUGGAGCAAUCCAUGAGUAAAGUGGCGCACGGGUGAGUAACACGUGACUAACCUACCCUUGAGUGGGGGAUAAACCUAGAGAAAUCUGGGCUAAUACCGCAUAAUACCUUCGGGUCAAAGGAGCAAUUCGCUUAAGGAGGGGGUCGCGGCCGAUUAGUUAGUUGGCGGGGUAAUGGCCCACCAAGACUAUGAUCGGUAUCCGGCCUGAGAGGGCGCACGGACACACUGGAACUGAAACACGGUCCAGACUCCUACGGGAGGCAGCAGUGGGAAUUUUGCGCAAUGGGGGAAACCCUGACGCAGCAACGCCGCGUGGAGGAUGAAGUCCCUUGGGACGUAAACUCCUUUCGAUCGGGACGAUAAUGACGGUACCGAGAGAAGAAGCCCCGGCUAACUUCGUGCCAGCAGCCGC
rnacentral:rRNA from 1 species